AUACGGAGGGUGCGAGCGUUAAUCGGAAUUACUGGGCGUAAAGCGCGCGUAGGCGGUUUGGUCAGUCGGAUGUGAAAGCCCCGGGCUUAACCUGGGAAUUGCAUUCGAUACUGCCAGACUAGAAUGUAGUAGAGGGAAGUGGAAUUCCGGGUGUAGCGGUGAAAUGCGUAGAUAUCCGGAGGAACAUCAGUGGCGAAGGCGACUUCCUGGACUAACAUUGACGCUGAGGUGCGAAAGCGUGGGGAGCAAACAGGAUUAGAAACCCGAGUAGUCC
rnacentral:rRNA from 1 species